rnacentral:rRNA from 1 species
UACGGAGGGGGCUAGCGUUGUUCGGAAUUACUGGGCGUAAAGCGCACGUAGGCGGCUUCGUAAGUUAGAGGUGAAAGCCCAGAGCUCAACUCUGGAAUUGCCUUUAAGACUGCAUCGCUAGAAUUGUGGAGAGGUAAGUGGAAUUCCGAGUGUAGAGGUGAAAUUCGUAGAUAUUCGGAAGAACACCAGUGGCGAAGGCGACUUACUGGACACAUAUUGACGCUGAGGUGCGAAAGCGUGGGGAGCAAACAGG